rnacentral:rRNA from 1 species
GACGAACGCUGGCGGCGUGCCUAACACAUGCAAGUCGAACGGGGAAGUUAGCAAUAACUUUCUAGUGGCGAACGGGUGAGUAACGCGUAGACAACCAACCUUCGUGUGGGGGACAACACUUCGAAAGGAGUGCUAAUACCGCAUAAGCUCAUUUGGCCGCAUGGUCGGAUGAGGAAAGGAGCUUCACGGCUUCGCAGGAAGACGGGUCUGCGUCUGAUUAGCUAGUUGGAGGGGUAACGGCCCACCAAGGCGACGAUCAGUAGCCGGUCUGAGAGGAUGGACGGCCACACUGGGACUGAGACACGGCCCAGACUCCUACGGGAGGCAG